rnacentral:rRNA from 1 species
UCAGUCGACUCCUACGGGGAGGCAGCAGUGGGGAAUAUUGCACAAUGGGGGAAACCCUGAUGCAGCCAUGCCGCGUGUGUGAAGAAGGCCUUCGGGUUGUAAAGCACUUUCAGUAGGGAGGAAGGUAGUGUAGUUAACACCUGCAUUAUUUGACGUUACCUACAGAAGAAGCACCGGCUAACUCCGUGCCAGCAGCCGCGGUAAUACGGAGGGGUGCGAGCGUUAAUCGGAAUUACUGGGCGUAAAGCGCAUGCAGGCGGCCUGUUAAGUCAGAUGUGAAAGCCCGGGGCUUAACCUCGGAAUUGCAUUUGAAACUGGCAGGCUAGAGUCUUGUAGAGGGGGGUAGGAAUUUCAGGUGUAGCGGUGAAAUGCGUAGAGAUCUGAAGGAAUACCAGUGGCGAAGGCGGCCCCCUCGGACAAAGACUGACGCUCAGAUGCGAAAGCGUGGGGAGCAAACAGGAUUAGAUACCCUGGUAG